UACAGAGGGUGCGAGCGUUGUCCGGAAUCACGGGGCGUAAAGGGCGCGUAGGUGGCUUGUUAAGCGUGUGGUGAAAGCCUGGGGCUCAACCCCAGGUCUGCCGUGCGAACUGGCAAGCUUGAGCGUAGUAGAGGCAGGUGGAAUUUCGGGUGUAGCGGUGGAAUGCGUAGAUAUCCGAAAGAACACCGGUGGCGAAGGCGGCCUGCUGGGCUACUGCUGACACUGAUGCGCGACAGCGUGGGGAGCAAACAGG
rnacentral:rRNA from 1 species